rnacentral:rRNA from 1 species
UACGGGGGGAGCAAGCGUUGUUCGGAUUUACUGGGCGUAAAGGGCGCGUAGGCGGCCAGCACAAGUCAGUUGUGAAAUCUCCGAGCUUAACUCGGAAAGGUCAACUGAUACUGUGCGGCUAGAGUGCGGAAGGGGCAGCUGGAAUUCUUGGUGUAGCGGUGAAAUGCGUAGAUAUCAAGAGGAACACCUGCGGCGAAGGCGGGUUGCUGGGCCGACACUGACGCUGAGGCGCGAAAGCCAGGGGAGCGAACGGG